rnacentral:lncRNA from 1 species
GGAAAUCCAAAUUGCAGUGCAAGCACCAAAGACCAAAAGGUGACAGAGGAUCACAUGUUGAUUAUAACCAAGCUUUGAAAUUUCCAAAUCUGAAUGUCCAUAACAGUACCACCACCAUAUGGCUACACAUCUAUCCAACCAAAACAAACUAUCAUGAUAAUAUAAAAAAAAUGGAAGACAAAAGAUAAUAAGUAGCUAGAAGAACAAAAGUAAAGAAGUAUUUUACAUCACUAUAAAAAGAUCUAGGAUUGGCCGAGUACUUCUUUAGGUGCCCACACAAAAGACCUCAUCACCAUAGGACACCUCACAACUUGGAUCAUCCAAGAGCAUAUGCUUCUGGACAAAGAACUCAUGGCAGCAGAAAAAUACAACACACUGGUCAAAAAUAAUAUCCUAAUUGAGAAACUUCCAUACAAAAGUAGUUUUGACAAAGAUAAGAGGAGCCAUGAGAGAAGAAAACUGAAUUGAAAAUUAUCGAUACUCAUAAAAGACUGAACUUAAAAGGCCUCAACUCAUAUGGACAAACAAGAUCACUCCAUGAAAAGAAGAAUCCACUGCUCUGUAAGACCCAAUGGCUGCAAGCAAAGGAAUAAAGGAAAGAAUACUUGCAAAGCUGACGAAACCCACUAGAAAAUGCAAGAUAAGAUUGAAAAACCCCUCUCAUAUCCUGAUAAUAUCCAUAUUGCGGUGCAUCCACAAAACUGGCAAAGAAUCAAGAUUGAGAAACCCCUCUAUCUCGCCUAAUAAUAUUCAGAUUGUAGUGCCAGCACAAAAAUGGCAUAGAAACAGGUUGCACAAGAAUGGACACUGGGCAUUAACCUUCAAAAUUUUCCAAAUCUAAUCCUCUACUGUCAUCCAUCCAACAAAUAAAAUCAAUCUGGGGUGAAACAAACAGGAAGCAGAGAACGGACCCACUUGAUGGGGCUGUCAAGAGAUCUAGGAUUGAGUUUUGAUUUCUUAUCAGGUGUCAAUAAGACCAUAUACCCAUCAACCAACCAGGAAUCUCGUAAUCUCAUCAAUUGGAUCAUCGAAGAACACAAGCAUCCGAUCUACAAACUAAAAAUGGCAGAGCAGAAUACAACACACACUAGUGCAAGAAAAACUAAUUUAGCUGGGAACUACCAUAUAACGGCAAUUUUUGACAAAGAGAGGAGGGACCACUCUGAUUGAGGAAGAAAACUGAAAUGAGAAUCUCAGUACUCAUAAAACCUGAAGUAGAAGAACAUCAACACAAAUGUCCAAACAAAGCCCCUCCAUGAAAAGGAUAGUUCACUGCUCGGUUAGACCCAACUGCAAGCACAGAAAGGAGG